rnacentral:lncRNA from 1 species
AAUAUAUUAACAGUAGUAUUUCAGCUUUUCACAUAAAAAUAUUCUUAGUUUCAAUAUAUUGGGAUGAAUUCUGUGAAAAUAAAUAUCUCUUUAGUUAUCUGUAUUAUUAAAAAUAACAAGUUUUCUGCUAUAUUGUGAGAGAAGUGUACCUAGAACAUAAAUCAAUCUGGGCUCAGUAAUCGAGAGACUUUGGAGGCUGGGAAGAGGCAUGUUUAAUCUUCAGAAAACUGGGAAUUAUUCAGGAAGGGGAGAUUAUUACCUCAUCCCUACCUCUUUUAAAGCCACAUUCUUGUCCUAUCCUUGUCCUGUUUCAAUUUUUAAAUAAUAACUGAGAGAUAGAUAGUACAGAUGCAUCUCACACAACUACCAUACAAUAUCAAAACCAGGAAACACAUUAGUGUAAUGUGGGUGUAUGGCAUUUUAUCACAUGUAGCUUCCUGUACCCACCAACACAACCAAAUUAGGGAACUAUGUCAUUGCUCUGAAGAUCAGUCAAUGUCAACAUUUUGCCAGUUUGAGUGAAAUGUAGAACUUAUGUCCCUUGUCUGUCCCCCAUUUAUAACCUAAUUGUAUUAAAUAUAUCCUCUAUAUGCAGUGAGAUCCACGUCAAGCAAUGUUAAUACAUUUUGCUCCCACCAUCAAACAGUUUAAGAAGCUAGAGAAGGAAAAUCUAUUGUAUUUAUCAUAUUUUUGCUCUUUCCAUGAUGUUCCAAGAUCUUUGAGGAGUUGGUGUUUUUGUUGUUUGAUGCUAGGGAUUAAACGGAGCCUCUCACAUGCUAAGCUUGUGCUCUACCACUAGGCCACACCCCCAGCCAGAUUGGGUCAUUUCUUUUUUGUCUUUGGGUUCACUGUUAUCCUCUCCUAAACUGUAGAACCAUUUCAUUUUAUUCUUUUUCUUUCAUUUGUUAAAUUUCCAUUUGUUUCAAGAAUGUUCAUAAUUGCUCAUCGAGACUUUUUUUUUUUAAUGACUGUUCUAAAAACCUGUAAUCUAUGUGUCAUUUUGGGAUUGGCAUUUGUUGUCUCUUCUUAACUCAAGUUGAGAUUUGCCUUGUUCUUGGUAUCAAAGUAUGACUUUCCAUCCUACUGGGCAUUUGGGUUUUAUGGUUUUGUGUUUUGUUUUUUGCCACUGUAUGACUUUAUUUUUGUUCAGUAAAAGUUAUAGCUGUAGGUUGCCAUUAUCCUCUUAAUGUGAAUACUCCUUUGACCUCCUUUUAUUCUAAACUAUACAGUUAAUAAUGAAAUGAUCCCACUUUUCUUCUCCAGUCAAUUAAAGUUGUUUUCAGUUUCCUUAAUAUUGGAGAACUGAAAAGCAAAUGAGACCCACCCUUUUGCACUCUAGGAUUUUGUUAAUUCUGCUUCUGUUAAGUGCCAAAUGUUAGCAUUUCACCCUGUAAUGUUCAGUUAGCAUCCAUGGAGGAAGUGUCUAUGCCCAGCACAGGUGACAUGAAGCCUAGGAGCAAAGGGACUAGUGGAAUGGACACAGCAAGUGGCAUCCAGCAAUGCAUAUGGUAUAAUAAGAGCAAUGGCAGAUGCAGGCACAGGUGGCAGAGGGGCUU